CACCCGGAUCCGGCCAGCGGAUUGGAGGGCGGACAGGGCGCGGAAACAGACGCAUUGGUGGCGGAGACAGGAUGGGGCGGCCCGGGGGAGCAGCAGCGUGCGGACGCUGCACGGGCAUGGGCGGUGGGGGCUGACGUCACACGAUCCAGGGGAAACUGACAGGGGGGAGGAACCGAGCGCCGCAGCAGCACGGAGAGCAGAACCAAAACAACGAGACACGCCUGCUGCAAGUCUUGCUGCUGCUGCUGCUGCCUCCACUCUGCCCGCUUACCCGCUGCGGGCUGCUCUCCUCCUCACCCGCAGGGCUCCGGGAUGCAGCAGUGCAGGAGAUAGACACCGCAGCAGCGCCCGUUCAGUAUUCUCACUGGCAGCCAGGGCAGCAUGCAGGAGAGCGGGGUAAGCAGCUGAAGGCUCCCUGGACGGAUCCGACCUCUGGAUGCGCAAUGCCUAACGUGAAGAACAGCAAAGGGAAGAAGAACAAGCGCGCCAACAGCAGCGGGGAUGAGCAGGAUAAUGGAGCAAUGGCAGCUGCUGUCGCCACCGCCGCCGCCGUCGUCGCUGCAGGAGGCAUGGCAGCAGCCACUGUGGGAGCCGCAGCCGCCGCCUCUGCAGUGCCCGUCGCAGCCUCGGCGGCAGCUCCGGUGGCAUCGGCCGCACCUUCCAGUGACUGCAACAGGAACGAAGCAGUUUGUGCCACGCCACUUAUUUGUAGUCUAAGUAGACCAGUUGAGUUGGAGAAAGACGACUACCAGAAGGUGAUCUGUAACAACGAGCACUGUCCAUAUAGUACUUGGAUGCAUCUGCAGUGCUUUUAUGAAUGGGAGAGCAGCAUUCUUAUCCAGUUCAACUGUAUUGGUAGAGCACGCAGCUGGAAUGAGAAACAGUGCCGCCAGAACAUGUGGACUAAAAAAGGAUAUGACCUGGCUUUUCGGUUUUGCUCAUGCCGUUGUGGUCAGGGCCAUUUGAAGAAAGAUACAGAUUGGUAUCAGGUAAAACGAAUGCAGGAUGAAAAGAAGAAAAAAUCUGGCCCAGAAAAGCCCACAGGAAGAUCCAUGUCUGAGUCUUCCGAUGAAGUGAAGAAGUGCCGUGGUACAGCAAAACCUCAGAAAUCACUGAGCUUUGAUCCUCCCCGCAGGCAUUCCGUGGACAGACAGAACUCCCAAGAAAAGAGUGGCAGUGGCAGUUCACAUGGAUUACGAUCUCCAUGUAUUUCUCCCGGCCAGUCUCCUCCUGCUGGCUAUCCCAUUCUCUCCCCUUCCCACUUUAACGUUCCCCGCAGUUCUAGAUACCUAGGUGAAUUUUUAAAGAAUGCAAUUCAUUUGGAGCCACAUAAAAAAAAUAUGACCCCUGGAGGGGUUCUCAGGAACACACACUUUGACUACAGUGUUUCUGGACUGCAGGCUCACCGGUCAGGACGUUUGGACGCACCAGUACAAUUUCUCAGAAGACUUGACCUUUCUGAGUUAUUAGCUCAUAUACCGAGGCAUAAAUUGAACACUUUCCAUGUGCGUAUGGAAGAUGAUGCACAAGUUGGGCAGGGAGAGGAUCUACGAAAAUUUAUCUUAUCAGCGCUCAGUGCUAGUCACAGAAAUGUAGUCAACUGUGCUUUAUGUCACCGGGUGCUCCCUGUGUUUGAGCAGUUUCCUCUGGUGGAUGGGACAUUAUUCCUCAGUCCCUCAAGGCAUGAUGAGAUUGACUAUGAUGUACCUUGCCAUCUUCAAGGAAGGCUUAUGCACUUGUAUGCUGUCUGUGUGGACUGUUUAGAAGGUGUUCACAAAAUCAUCUGCAUCAAAUGCAAAUCUCGAUGGGAUGGAAGCUGGCAUCAACUGGGAACGAUGUACACGUAUGACAUUUUAGCAGCCUCCCCAUGCUGUCAGGCCCGUCUGAAUUGCAAGCACUGUGGGAAGCCAGUCAUUGAUGUACGCAUUGGAAUGCGUUAUUUCUCAGAAUACAGCAACGUUCAACAGUGCCCUCACUGUGGGAAUUUAGACUACCAUUUUGUGAAGCCAUUUUCCUCAUUUAAAGUUCUAGAGGCCUAUUGACGAAAGCUUUGUUUUAGUAAUAGCCAUUUUAUAGGUAUUACUACUUUGUUAUAUAUCUUUUUAUAGGAAAUAUUCUGUAAAAAAAACCCUUUUCUAAUUCAAAAAAAUUGCAGCGUUUUUUCUUUGAAUUGUGUUACUAAAACUGUAUAUAGUAUUUACAGUUUCCCGAAUUUAAGUGGGAAAUGUAAAAUGAAAAUGUGACGGGUGAAUGUAAAUCUAUGCCAGCAAAGUGUAUUUUUUUUUCUGUCAUCUUUUAAGUAUUUGGGCAUAGUACUCUAAUUUCUAUAUAAAAUUUGUCCUGAUUGACUAAGCACUUAAAAAAAAAAAUUCCACCAAAGUAAAUUUAGAUAUUUUUAACAAUAAAUUUGAUAUUUUAAGCCAUUUGCUUUUUUUAUUAGCAUUUUUGUUCUAAUUAGAGAAAUGUGGUCAAACUGUUAUAGCAUUUUUUAUAUAUUUUGAAUUGGUAUAAAAUGAUCAUACUUCUUAAACACCUUCACUGGUAGUGUGCAAAAUGAAAUCAUGUAUUUUUCUCAUUUUAAAGUCUUUCUUUUUAAAAAGGAAAAAUGUGAUUUUGUGUUGAAUUGGAUGGCCUAAAAUAGAGACUUUCAUUUUAUAGUUUUCAAUGUAUCUGGCGGGUCACUGGAUGCUUAUUACGGUUUGUGUUGACCUUUUUUGCUUUGGUAAAGCCCCCUACGAACUACCUAUUCAUAUGAAUUAAAAGUUCAGUAGGAAAAGGUUUUAAAUUUUUUUUUACAAAGUCCACUGGGGGCCGUCCAUUUGAUUUGACUAUUCAGUAGAUUUACUGUUUUAUAAUACUCUAAUAAUACAAUUUGGGAUAUUAUUUUAGGUCCCCUAAUUUCACCCACAACUCUUUACAUUUUGGGUUAGAUAUGUCUUCUCGUUUGAAACCAAUCAAAUAUUUCAUGUUUUUAUAUUGUACUAUUGGAGAGCACUGAUGAUUUCUCUUUUUGGAUGCUUUAUUUUAAUCAUAUCCUACAAAUGUAAAUUUGAUGCAUUUGGAAACCAACACAUUGUUUUUAAAAAUAAACAGGCUAGAUUGAAUCUUUAAAAUCAUUAUAUUGAAAGCUAAUCAGCUCUUUAUGGAAUAGUUCACACUUAUCAGCAUUUAAUGAGAACAUAGAAACAGAGUUAAAAUGGAAUAAGGAUUCUUUUUUUCGCAUUAUCACAAUUUGUAUUCCAAACUUUGAAUGCCAUAUUUAAAAUUGAAUAACACUACAGACGUGUAUUUCCAUGUGUUAGUGCAUUUUAUCAGUACAAUUGGGAAACGGAAUGAAAAAUAUUCUAAAACUGUAUUGCUAAGAUAUGCAGCAUUUUGGUAUAUGUAAUCAUCCUCUUAAGGGGGUAUUCAACUUGAUGCAGUAAUUUACCGCAUGUGGAAAAGGGUGGUAGCCGCAGGCUUUAACAACUGGGGCUAUUCAAUUAGAUACCCUUUUUCUCAACCGGUAAAUUACUGUGUUAAUUGGCAUUAACUCAUAGAAUCUGGAAUAAGUUGUCAAACCUAUGAGUUAACAUUGCCACAGCACCCUAAAAACAGGUUAUUUUGGGGGGAUUUCUUUGAAGAAAAAGUCCCCCUUAUCUGCAGUCUGUGAGCUGCAUUUGGGCAAGCUUUGCAAAUAGUAGGGUGGGUUUUUUAUUUCCAGUUUAGGUUUUUAGGGUAUGCUGCUUCUUUAAAAAAAAUUCUUUUUAGUAAAUCAUCACACUGUUUUAGAUUGUUUAGCUUUUUCUUUUAAACAAUAUAUCAUGUGCAAUAUUGAACAAAAAUAUUUUACAAUGCAUUGAAAAUAUCGAAAUAGCUCUAACCAUGGUACUGAGUAUAAUUAUUCUCCUAAUAAAUAAGGUUCACUGUUCUGCUUGCAGAAAAUGAAGUAUAAAAUAUACGUAUAUUAAUUACACAACCUGCAGUGAUAAUUUUGUGGUUUAAAGCUACAACAAGGGGAGGGUUUACACCUACAAUGCCUGCUUAUUUUACUAUGGGAAGGGAUGGAGUGGUAGCAAGUCCUGCAGAAUAAUCCGAUCUGACUAGUUUAUCUUCUGAACUCACGGUAGUGAAGUCUGCUUUAGUGGAUACAUUAGAUCCUAUACACAGCUGCACAGCAACAUUGCAAUGUACACUGCUUAGAUGUCCCCAAUAGUACAGCCAUGCCUGUCCUUAUCUACUGAAGUAGAAGUGGCUUAGUGGGCAAUAUUUUCCAGAUCUCCAUGACAUCCGCAAUAAUUAGCUGAAAUCUUCUAUUGAAUCAAUGGAGCCCUAACCAUAAAAUUCAGUGUGGUGCUUAGUACGAAAACAGCAUUUAACUAAUACACCUAACAAUUUAACAUGAGGUCAUUUAAAAUAUUUGCAGAUAAUAAUUUCCUUAUGUUGUUGACGAUUUGCUUUCCAGGUUGCAACAUGAGAGAAAGCGAUCCGCCUGUGUAAGCACUCUGCAGAUAGCCUUUCAGUUUAGCUGAUCAGAGGAAAUAGACAAAUUGUAUGUAACAUUAAACACCAUAAGGCAAAGUACAUUUCUGCUCCAAUGUACAGGUGGAAAAUUCAGAGCCAACAAACCUUUGCAGUCAAACAGAACAAUAGCUGGAAAUGCUUAUUUUCUUUUGUUCCUGUAUAAAAACAGUUUACUUAACCUAAGCCCAGUGUGUAAUCGUCAAACUAGUAUUUAUGGAUAGUACUACUGUAGCAAUACAUGUACAGUAUUUGCUGAGCUACACUGACAUGAUGUGAUAUUGUAUAUUCGAUCAACUUUUUAGUGUUAGCCUUAGGUAUCUUAUAACAAAGACUCUUUUCUCAACGAUGUGUAAAAAAAAUUGGAGCUGGAGGUUGAAGUCCCAUGGUGUAAAAGCUAACCUGCCAUACAUAUGUUAAGCCAAAAACCAUAGAUGAGGUAUAUACUUAAUUUUUUGAGGGGACAAAGGCACAAAAGUAAUAUACAAGGAGAGCAUCUGUAAAUAUUCCCACACUGCAUACAUAAAAAACAGAAACAUACAGUGUCAAAAGCAUGUGAAAUAAAACAAACCACAUCCCUCGAAACCAUAAAUCAACAGCAUAUUACACCGUCGUAUAAAUAACAGCGCAAGGGCUAUCACGGAGAUGAGAGUGGAGAGAAGGCCUAGCGUAUCUAGGCUGUUGCUAUCCAUUCCAGAUUUGGUAAAAUUUGGACUCCGUAUUUUGAGUAAUAUUCAAGUAUUUUUCAUGAGUGAGGGUAACAUUGACCUGGGAAACCAAAGCACUGACUUUGGGACCAGAGAUGGAUAUCCAGGAGCAAGCUACACCUUGGCCAAGGUUAAAAACAUGUCUAGUUUAUUUAGCUAGGGUAUCUACAUCUAAAACCCCUAGAGAGCAUGGCAUGUAUAAGAAUAGAAGGGGAAUCCCAGUAGAGGAGAUUGACCAUAAAACCCUAUACCAAAAAAGCAUUAGCCAGGGUACUUCUCCAUAACAGAUCCCAGACUGUGUCCCGGGAGGCCUGGCAUUUGAGACACGCUUCAGUAGCCUGACCUCCCAAUUUCAUUAACCUUAUGGGGUAAGAUAAGUUCUGUGUAAUAAAAACAAUUGAAAUUCCUGAAAUCUAAUGGAAGUGAUAAAUAUACGUGUGGGCUCCCAAGAGCCAUAGUCUGUGUGUGAUCACACGGGACCCUCAUCGAACUCCCAACUUAGCCUAACGUGUGGCAAAUAUGUUGAGUGGUGAGCAGACAUAAGGAAGGUAUAGAGGCAGGAAAGCGUUCUACGGGAACCGAUGGAAGAGGGAAACCAUUGGAGGUUGGGGCCUUGGAUAGGGGAAUUCUCAUCUGAAAACUGGGGCAGCCAAGGCAUGCCAGUGUUGCAAAUAUAGAAGUGAGUGGAAAGAAGUCGAUUCAUAACGAAGCUGAGUAAAGGAGUUUAGUAUAUAAUUGUCAUACAGCUGUUCUGUCACCCCACACCACUGUAUAAUGAAGAACGAAGAGAUCAGACAGCGACUUACUGAUAAAAAUGUUUUUACAUAGUUGUCAUACAUGAAAUAACCUUCAAAAUUAUUAUGCCCAUCUUACAGCAAUUAAUGGCUAAAGGACUUGUGGAAAUCACAAUAAUAGGUGACACCAAUGGUUAUAGCGCUACUGAUACUGAAAUGACUUUGAAGUUUAGUAACACGUCUGAUAGUUCUGUAUAGCUAAAGAAAUGCAACUGGCUAGUGCUAAGAAUCUCCAUUGAUGAUGAUGGAAGCGAUUCAAUUGUUUUACCGCGCCCUGCACAGCAUAUCGCCGGUAACUUUAGAUGGGGCUAUAUGCAAAUAUUUGUUCUGGCGCCCAUUGUUUUUUGCACAUUUUGUGCCCAAAAACAAAGUUUAGCUGUGCAAAGCAGCUAAACCCAUCUAAAGUACUGAGGGCAUAUUGUGAAAAGUUGGCAAUAUGCGUGCCCAAUUGUAGCCACAAUAGAUUUACUCCUUCUGGUGUCGGGUCACUUAAAAAAAUUAAAAAAAAAAAUGAAAUUUCCCCAAUGAUAAACCCAGAAACAAGGGAUACAUUCUUCAGCUUGAAAUAUAGGCAUUUGUAGCAAGCCUCAAACUACCCUUAGGGCCAAGGAACAAAGGUGUUUUAGAAUGCUGUAGGUUAACAACAACUGUGGCAUUAGUAGGCAUGAAACCCUUUUAUAACACUUUGAACGGCACUAACAUCAUUCGUGCUACUGUCACAUUAACCAGGACACCAUACCUUCAAGAUGCCACAGCCACGGUUUGUAUAGGAAACGCUUGCUAGAGUGUAGGACAGUGCUCAUUCUCACGAUUAGAAUGUCUUGAUAUUUUUCUUUAUGCAGUACUUAUAAUUUUGGUGAAGGGUUUCUGAUUAGAUUAUUCAACUUUUUGAUAUUCAGUUACCUCUAUUUUUCUAGAGGUUGCGACAAAUUCCUUAUGCAGUCCUUAGAAAGUAAUAAGUUGGCACUUGGCAUUAUCUGAUCAGUAUUCCUUAAUGUGGGACCUCUGAUAUUGCAUAAUUCCAGGGAAUGGUGUACACUGACUGCUUCAUUUUCAUUGAGAACGUUUAGUUAGAUUAUUUAACUAAAAUGACAAUGCCUUUGUCAUUCCCCGAACAGAAACGCAUUCGUUUUUCAUAACCAUCAGCUGAAGUCAGAGUAUGUAAUAAAAACCUACACUUCUUCCCAUUGCUACAGUAACAAGGACCAUCAUUCUUUACAAGCCUGUCAGACCAUGUACACCCCCGCUCUCCUUUUCAGAAAAUAUCACAUGCAUUAUGUAAAAAAGGCAGCAAAAUGAAAAAGUAAGCAUUUGUGGAAGACAUCAGAAAGCACGAUAUAUAGAUAGUUGUCCGUGUAGUUUUAAUGAGAAAAAAGGUGACAGAUUUAAGCCAUGGGCCAUUUUACACCUAGGAUAUACUGUAUGUAUGUACUGUAUACUAUAUAAAUCAUUUAUGUAUUUGCAGAAAUGUUUUCAGUUGCAAUAAGCCUGUAACUAUGACAAAUAACCUUUUUUUGUUGUAAGAAUGAAUUGUGACAUUGCACUUUCCACUUCUGAAAUUAGAGCAUGUUGUGUUAUCAGUUUCAUUUUAACCAUAUGGCCAGGAUUUAUUCACCUGUAAUAGCAUAUAAACAUUAUAGCAUUCUAGCCAUCAUCUAUUUUCCUACUAUAAUGAUUAGGCAUUUGGCACAAGAGCAAUGCAGAUGCCUGUAUGGUUUAUUACAUUACAGUUUUGCUAUGGUUUGUUCUUUCUAGCACACAGCAUAACGAAACUAUUUCCAGGAAGUCUGAAGCAUUAUUUAAUAGAAUAGUGAAUAAAACCGCACUUAGCAAUUUAAUGAGUGUAUCUUAAAAUGUAUUUCUAAGGUUGUAAGUAUUGAUAAUCACAGUUACCAUAACUACAUUAUAAAGGUAUUGCUUUUAUUGAUAUCAUAACAAACCUUUUUCCCUCAGCCAAAGACCGUUAACUGAGAAUUAAAGUUGUCUAGUGUCAACGAUUGCCAGGUUAUACAAUGUUCAUGACUUUGAGAUUUGAGCUGUUGUUAUAUCUACAACCAUGAAUACUUUAUCAUGGAUCAUCUGCACUUGUCAGUGAAAAAUAAAAUUACAUUUUGCAUA